AAAUUCACCACCUCAAGCAUACAAAAAAAAGACAAAAACAAAAACAAAACCACACCUCGUUGUGCCUUUUUCACCAUGACUGAUCAUCAUGUCAAAGUUAGUUCUGACUGGCCUCCCUUACUUGGUUAAAGUGCUGCUUUCCUUGGGGAAGAUGGCUUUUGCAAGACUUGCAGAUUAUUUGUAAGAAAUCUGACUUUGUCUAGUUUUGUUAAGCUUUUAGUCUAUUAUCUGAAUUCAUAGUAACAUUUAAGCCUUAAUUAGCUAAAGAUAAGAAAGGAUUCAAGCAAAUCUAGGAGUAAAGGAAGUCAAUAUUUAUCUAGUGAGCUACACUGAGAUAUCAUUGGCUUGACUCUGACAGAAAUCACAAAUAACUAAACUAAACACGUACAGGUAUUAUCUUGGUAAAACAAGUAGUCAGACAAAGAUAUAAUAUCUGUACUCUAAAGUAUCUAGUGCAUAUAAACCACUGUUGCAGCGCUUCAGUAGUUAAAAAUCUAACACCAUAAAUGUGCUCAGAUAUUUACAGCUCCAACUUGCUGUUGUUAGUAAUGUUACAGAAAGCCUAGGACUACUAUAAAAUGUACAAUAAAAAUACAGAGAGACACUCCUUUGCCUCACAGUCCAGAUAGAUGAAGAGGGAGACAACACAGGGAGAGAGAGCAGAAAUGCCAAGGUCUGAUGAGAAAGUUAAGAAUAGAGACCAAGACCAGGGGUACAUCUUAGCCACACUGCAUAGCAGCUACGAGGGAGGAAAGCUUUGGGAGCCUACUAAGAAGAAAGGAAGCUCCCAUACCCUCUCUAACAAAGCAGAUCUGGAGAGACAGCAGUCAUGACUGCCCCAGGUUCUUACACCUCUAGGACUGCAGACUAAGAAGAGGCACCAGGCUAAGCUGAGGCAACAACACAAGUUCCCCAGUGCAAGAUUCUCCCGCGCUUAGCCCAGGAUGGAACUCCCUCAAGUACAGUUUGCAUUGCUAUUUACAAGUCAGGAAUAGGUACUUCAUCCUUCUGCUUCCCUUUUGAGGGCCUCAGUGCCCACAGGAGGUUAACAGGAUUAAUGUGUGUUUUAUCUUUUCCAAACCAGCUCUCCAGAGGUCAGCUCCCUCCCUAGACAUGAAUGUUGACAUACACAAUGUUACAUAGACAUUUCACCUCCUUCCUGAGGAGUAAAGUCCAGACUGCCCCACCAGUCAUUCCUAAAAUCUGGUUAACUUUUAUCCACUCUCAAGUCCUGAGCUGCUGCCAUUAGUAUUUGUUGUGACAGCGCUGAACAGAUUCAGACUUUUUUGCAGUAGUGGCUGUACACGCAGAGUCGCAGAGUGUUCUUCCCCAAAAGGACACUGCACAACAGCAAAAUGAAGAACAGCAUGACAAUAAACAGCUUGUAUUCUGGAGAAGAGCUGGUCCAGGCUCUGAGGCAGCAGCUCUUCCUGAUUGGGUUCUUCCUCCUGUGAACCAGAAGAAAGAGCAACCUGCACUGUUAACAAGCUACCAAGAAAUCUAGCAACAUUGCAGCAGAGAGGCAAAGGUGUGCAUGAUACUUAAAUAUCUUCCAGCAUUCUUCCAUAAAUUAGAACAACCUGCCUGUCUGUUGAAGACCUGAUAUAUAAUUUGCUGCAAUACACUGAUGAAUGUACAUUCAAAUAUUAGACAGUUAUCUUUUUGUUCUCUACAAGAACAUACACAGAAAUACCAAGGGAGAGCAAAUCUGCAAGCAAAUGCUCAAAUAAUUUUUUGGGCAUUUUCACAUGAGAAUUAGGACCCUCCAAACUACCCCUUCAGGUGGGAAGAGAUCACAAAACUACUCUGGAAAAGAAAGGCUUCUUUCUGACUCAGCUAGGUCACCAUUGUGAAAGCCAUGAAGAUAUGAAGUAGCGACACGGCUCCUACAUGCUUUCUACCUUUGACUUUAAAGCUGAAGACCCCAAAUAUGCUGGUUGGCUGAAAAUAGGCAGUCUUCGGCAGAAGUCGUAAUUCUGUGAGGAGGCUCUAUGGGAACACCACUAUCGAUCUUCCACCUCAUGUGUGAUAAUUAAUCCACAGGAAAGAUAUCAAGAUCACAGUCCACAACACUAUCAUGAACUGUUCUUGCUGGGAAGGCCAGUAUGAUCUUUUUUGACCUUUGAGGAUAAGUAGGUGCAAAAAAACUAAGGACAAGUGAAUUGCAUUCACUGCCACAGGAACGAGCACGGCCUCAAAGGAGCUGGAAGGUGUAUUUAAGGUUACCAUGGACAACUGGGGGGACACAAAAGCAAGAAGCUUUUUGUCACUCUGCUUGAACAGAAGAGGCUUGAUCAUACAAAAUGCUGACCCUGCCCAGCCCUUUCUGGUUUAUGUCAAUGGGGACUGAGAAAGCAAAGAUGAUACCAGGUCCAUUCACAUAGCAGGACUGGUCACUUACCCUGAAACUGGUUCAAAUGCAUGGUGGAAGGCUACCUACCUUGCUAACAUUAUCCAGUGGCUUUCCCAACAGGUCCUUCCUCUUCAGCUUGUUUCUUUCCAGCAUGUCUAGCUUUUUUACCACUGCAUCAAUCUUGGAGCCAAUGCUGUUUAUUGACUGUUCCAGCUGCAGCACACGUUGCAGGAGGCUGAGGAAGACAUGGAGAGAAAUUGCAAGAUUUUUCUUGUCACCAACAGCAGGAUUUGCAGCUGAAAUCUUACAGUCAAUGGGCCAGACCUCAAAUAGGAAUGAAUGCUCCACAUCACAGAACUCAUUCAUACCCAAUGAAGACAUAACUCCCUGCUACACUGUGUUUUCAUCUGUAACGAGUGGUUCUGCUUAGGAGAGAUCCCUACCAGUUUGGAUCACUAUAUAAUCCCAUUAUUAAAUAUUUAAUCCGCUUCUCCUUUCGUAUGGCCCUACAUGGAUUGCUCAGUGUUUCUCAGUAGCAGAAUCAGGAUCUCCUGAUUCUCUGUGCUGUAUUUAUCCCAUGUUCCUCCUGUGGAAAACCAGCCAAGUGUUAUUCUCAGACCUGGAGGAUGAAGGCUGACUCGGCCAUAAAUCAAGGACAUUUAUUUAUUCCCACAGGACCUUCUGUAAAGGUAUCAACUACCCCUGGCCCAGUUAUCAGGGCUGCCUUCUGACCUCAAACAUGACAGCAUAUUGCCUGUGGCCAGCUGACAGCUGCAGAGGUUAUUCAAGAGGCAGAAAGCAAAAUUUCUUAACCCAGUCUUUUACAGGAACAAGCAAACUACAUUAUAAGAACUGUCCCAGUUCUCUCCUGACCUGCUCGUUUACACAUGUACAAGAUAAAAGAAAGGACAAGAUCUUACUGAACCUGCUUAGCAUCAGUGUAAACAGUUACAUCGGGGAAGAAAGUAGCAAGGAAUCAGACCCCUCGUUUGCAGAGGGAUUAAACUACUGGCAGCACAAACAUACACUUGGAACUCUUCUUUGGAGACCCAGCUGGCCUUAUUGAUGUGGUUAUUCUUUGUUUCCACGUAGCUCAGAUUCUCAUCCAGGUUGUUGUCACCAUAGGAUUUCCCCAAAUUUUCAAUCUCUGUAUUCAGAGCAACCUAGAAGACAGAUAAAGAAACUCCUGCAAAGCUGAAUACUAACUCUGUGUCAGCUUUGCUGUGAAUAACACAGAGCUUCACAAGCAGUGAUACACUCAGCUGCUGUCCAGGCAGAGUUGAAGCUGUGUUUGAGUUGUCUGCUUUGUUUAUACCACAAACCCAAAGAUUCCAGAAGGCCACUUUGGAGUGAUCUCUACCAAACAGAGGGUUUCUUUCCUUGCCCCUCCUCUCCUGCAUUUUUGUUUUUACCCUUUUUGCCUCUAGGUCAUGCUUCAUCUCCUGUUGCUCCUCUUCAUCAAGGAUGUGAUUGCCAUCUCUGUCAAACCUGGAAAAGGCUGCUGUGAUCUCAUAGUCUGCAUGGCCCAGUCUGCAAAAGAACAGAAAGAGAAAGCUCAAGGCCCUGAGUUACACUGCUAGGCUCUAACAGUGAAGGGAGCAGACCUUUUGAAAUCAGUGUAUAGUUUCCUCCUGCCAGUGACAAACCUAAACAUCCCAAAUGGGAGAGACAGCAACACAAACCCAUUUAGAACAGGAGAUUAAACAUGUCAGGAAGAUAAUAACUGGGUUUUUUUUGAAUCUUACAUUGCCCAGAUCUGAGCUAACUGCUCUCCCAGCCUUGAAAACCAGAGUAUUUAAGCUAACUGUAUGACAAAGAGAAAGGGAUAGGCAGGCAUCCCUCAAGCUGACUCACUCCUUCAAGCUGUUCUUGAAGUCUUCAAAGUCCAGUUCUUUUGUUCCAUUCUGCAGUGCUUUCUGCACAUCAGAAAUCCGCUCCUUCUUCAGCUUCAGCCUCAUGAGUGUCCGGUUGUAGCUCUGUUACCAAAGGUGCAAACAGACAUGGAAUCAUGCAGGCAGAACAGUGAAAAACAGGGCAGAGUGGACAAUGCAGUCUGGGUGAGCAGAUGCUAAGUAACACAAGAUUUUAAGCUUUCUAAAAGCAAGAAUACAACACUGCUGAAUGAGCCCCAUUUCUAAACUAGGAUCAUGCCUUAAAAGUGACAAAUACCAUUCUUUGCAUCCCACAGCACAGAACUGUGACCUUCCAGGAUCUUUUCUGGAAUUUGCCCAUGGGAAAUCCAGAUGUAAUCCACUAGAUCUGCAGGAGCAAUGUAAUAUGCUUAGCUUAGUGAAACAGGACCUGCCAUUUUAUUGAUCCAAGAACAUUCUAUCAAGGACUGGAAGAGCUUUGUCCAGAGACAGUCCUGGGAAGAAAAGUCUCUCAGAAACACUACCAACAUGCUCAAGUAACAGGAUUUCCACAACCUCUGCUUUCUCAUCUUCCUAUUGCCAAAUGAUUUAGGAGCUUGAUUUAUCCCAGAAAGGAACUGUGACUCCUACAUGCACCAAGAAGGUGAAUCUGGAGUUGGCAACCACUGUUUUUCUCUAGUAAAUUCCACAUAGGUUGGAGACUUCCAGAGAAUGCUUCAGGAUUUAUCUAGAAAGUAGCACAGUUUUCAGUAUUCAUCACCUGCUUCAAGAUGUCAGAGAGCUGCAGCUCAUCCUUCUGGCUUGAAAGUUCCUCCUUGACUUCUGAAUAGGUAUCAUUGAUGAUGGCCAGAAACAUGUUCUAGAAAAAGGGGAAGAAAACAAAUGAACAAGCAUGAGGCAUUUUGCCUGCUCCAGCAGCUGAAGUAGCAAGAGAGAGACACAGCUGUGCAAGGCUCAGUUAAACAAGGAGCUGUUUCUACAUGGGGUAUCCCUUGAGCAAAUUAAAAUGGGCAAAGGGAAGGCCCACUUCAGCCACACUGGGUUUUCUCACUGGGGAGGAUGUCCUUGCCAUUAAAGCAGUGGCCAAAGGUACAUUUGUACCCAGCUCAAACACCAUCUUUGGUAGUCUCUCCUCCAAGAUCAUUAGGAGCAUCCCUCUGGCUUCCCAGAGACUGUCCCCCAUGCUUUGUUCUCUGCCUGCUACAGAGCAACUGAACUGAUCCCCUUGGAUUCAGCUGCCACAUUACUGGUAUUCCCAGCCAGUUUUAGUCUUCACCUUAAAAGAUGCAGGUAUGGCCCUUAAUCACUCUGAACAUCAGAUCGCCAGUUGCAAUGACAUGCUCUUUGUCUACCUUGAUCUAUUUGCACUGCAAAGCUAUUGUGACAGAACCUUCCUUUCUCUCUAAGCAUUUGCACUGCACCUAGCUUCGGGAUUGUCAGGAGGGGUGUCUCAGAUACUGCUGUCAAUACAGGGGCAAGGAGGGCUUUCUUGCUUACCAGGAGCACAAAGAAAACAAAGAACACAUAGGUGACGAAGUAAAUAGGCCCAAGGACCCUGUUGGCAUUGUCAAUGGAAUUGUAGUCAAAGUCACCGAGAAUGAUCCGAAACUGGGUGAAGCUGGAGGAGAGGAAGAGCACAAGGUCACACAAAGGCACAUAUGUUUGUCCUCAGACAGUCCUGAGGUGAACCCUGAACCUGACUGCAACCCAGAUGGUUGCAGGCACAAGCCAGAGCAGGGUCUAAAUCAUUCAGUCUGACUGGUGAGUUAACCGUACCCGUAGUAUUUCGGAGGCAAAUGGAGUUGAUCUGGUGAGAGCAAGAGCUGGCUAGAAAGUAAAACAUGGUUUCCACACAAAUUUCUGGUUGUCCAAAGUGUGUUUUGGUCUGAACAGGAGUUAAAAACAAAAACAAAACAAACCCUGAAUUUUCCCUUAUAAAGGCAUUUGGCUCAUUGAAGCCUUCUCUGGCAAAAGAGUUCAGGAGACUGUGAAGAGAAUAUUAGUACUGGACAGUGCUCUUCAACCUUUUGCAGCUCAUAGCCCCUAUAAAGAAGUAAAUUUAGAUCUAUUGAUGAGAAGUUUGCUUAUGUCAGUUAACUAUCUCUUGUAGAGCCCUUAAUGGUAGAACCUGGAUCCCAGAGCUCUGUGGAACACAGGCUAAAAACUGCUGCUGUAGCGGUACCUCCUUUAACACCACACACUGCCUGAGCAGGCCCAUGGAGUGAAGGGCUGUCUGAGACAGGACAUCUUAACUCAGCUCCCAACACCCCCUUCUGUGGGGGCUCAUCCACCCACUGGUCACCCCCCAUCUCAAGUAUCUUAAUACAUUAUCUGUGGGACUUCAUGGGAAACUGAUCAGUGAAAUGACUCUUGCAAAAAAAUAUCCUCCAAUUAUAAAAAAAUUAAAUCUAAAAAAAUCAUAAUGAAAAAGACAGACAGACACAGACUGGGAAGCCACGUGGAGAGAAAAGGACUGUGAGAGCCCCGAGCCUGAAAAUCCUGUCUGAGAAAUGCAAAGCUCCAUUUCAGAUUCCUUGCAUUUGGACUGUUUAGGGAGCUGAGAAUGUUUUCCAGGUCUAAAGAGGAGGAAUGUGGCAUUGCUUCCUUUUCUUUGGCUUAAAUUGUCCCAAUUCAGUGACACUGAAGCGUCACCUUCCAGCAAGAAUUUAUUUUUACCUCUUUUGCUUUGAAAAUUUCUACUUAAUCUCAUUUAGAGUUAUACAGCAUAUUUUAGAAAACUUUAUGUUGAAUUAGUAUUAAAAUUAUUGUAUUAUAUGACUACCAACUUUCAGAAAUGAAGUAGAGGUGUUAUCAAAUCAGAUAUAAUGAUAAAUAAUAUAAAUAUGAAGUUUCUGACUUUUCAUUUCAGUGUUUAAUGCAAUCAUCUUGACAAGACAAGUGCAUUACUCCUGCUUUUUCCUGUGAAAACCUUGUAGGAACAAACAGUAUUCCUUCCAAAUCUUUGUUCAAAUUGAUGUGCACUAUCUGAUGGAAAGAUAAAAGUUUUCAUGCAGCUGUUGUGCAGACAUUGAAACAAUGUGAUCACCAAGUGUAUUUGGAAGCCAGAGAAUUUCAAAACUCUGGAGCUUCUAUCACCUGAGCUACAAUGCUGUUCUGCAGAAAGAUGUUAAAACACUCUGUAUGUUGAAUACCCUUGGUGUGCUUAAUGACUCCACAUCAAGGGAAAGCUGUCUGGGCUCUAGCAAACUGCAACUUCUCACUAAAGGCUCACAUGAAAAAGCUGGGAUUUCCACGAAUUGUAGGGCUGCAAGGAGUCUUAGAGUCUGAUAGGAUCAGCUACUCACAUCCUUACUGAUAAACACCAGACAACCAGAAAUCUGUCUGUAACCCCCAGUUUUCUCACUGCAUUCUUUUGUCCGUGAUGAUGUCACAGCUGAAUGACUGUUAGAGACUUAUUAACCAUUGUGGCUUUAUUACAAUGAGAUACAACAAGUGUCUGAUUGACGUUCAGAUUUCCAAUAGGGUGAACCCGGAAGGUAGUUAAAAUUCUUUUGAUGAAGUGAUAGAAACAUGGUUCUGACUUACACACUUACAUGCAUUUAACAAAGGUACUGAAGUUUUCCACUUGUGUCCCAAAAAGAAGGUAGCCCAGCUGGGCAUAGGCAAAGAAGACAAUGAAGAACAUAAUGGCAAAGCCCAGGAUGUCCUUGGCACAACGUGCCAGUGUGGAGGAGAGCUGGGUCAUGGUUUUGUUAAAGCUAAUAUACUUGAAUAUCUGUUAGAAGAAAGAACAGGGACAAAAUUAGGUCAAACCAUCAACUAGGUCGGUCUCUCUCAUAUAUGCACAUGCUUACUAAAACAAGGGGUUCACUAUGGUCAAAGCACUGAGAAGACAGCCAGGCUAAGGGAAUGGUGGCUUAGCACUGAGCAUAUUUGUCCUAAGUGUGCCACCAUAUUCCUGUGGGACCAUAAAGAUAUAACUUUGUGUCAAAGGAAAAUACAAAGAGGGACUGCUUUAAGGACAAAUGUCUUGAGGCUAAUGAGGAGCCCCAGGUACAGUGUGGCUUUCCACCAUGACAAGAUACUUUGGUUGAAAUGCAAAGUCCACCCCAACAGAUGGGUAAUUGCCAGUUGUUGGGUGGCCAUCAUGAACAGAAAACCUGGUUUGCCAGAUUAUAAUCCAAAAUACCAAAACAGUACAGGAUGGACCAAGUUACAUUGUACUCAUCACUUUUUAAAACCACUUUUAAACCACAAUGUCUGAGUUCAUCUCCCUGUCUUUUAUUUCCAAAUAACUGGCCUCAGAAUGCAGGGUGAAAAGUUGUCUGGAUUUAUUGCAAAACAGAGCAUGUGACUUUGAGGAAAAUCCUUCUAUGUUAUAUAGCUAUUACACUCCUUCACUCAGACGGAUGGAAGACUCAGCCUCAAAGCUAUCUAGAGGAAGGGGUCUGAGACUGGAAGCUUUGCGUCUCCCACACCCUCUACCAUACCUUGAUCCAGGCAAAGAAUAAGUUGACUGCAUUCAUAUUGUUGUACUGUGUCUGCCAGAAUGCCAGGAACUCGAAGUCUGCGUAGGUAUCGGGGUGUUUCAGCAGCUCUCCCAACAGCCUGUUCACCUCAAUGGUGCGGAAGAUGUGAAACCCAAUAGCAAUGAUGGAGAGCUACAAAGAGGAAGAGUCUGCAGUGACUGCUGUGCCUAUGCUUUCUGCAGAAAUUAAAGAGUCACAGAAUUCCUUAGUAUCACACUUCACAGCUGCAGUCUACUGGAGGGGGAUGGAAAUAAGGUCUUAAUGCACAGAAUUAUGCCCUGACUUCAUAACCUCUCAGACAUGUCUAAGGAUCUCUAGAUAAUUUUCCCAAUUCCUUCAAUUGUUUUGGCCCUUCUACCUCUCUGCUGUUGCUCACCCAAAAAAAGUGUGCAAGGAUUCUCACCAGAAUGACGACCACAUCCAGGAUGUUCCAGAUGCUGGUGAAGUACUGAAGUUUGUGGAUACGUAGCUCCAAAAUCUCUUCCACCACAUAGUAGAAGAUGAAGACACAGAAGACAAUUUCACAGGCAACAAUGAAGAAGUCCCACACACUGACAUAUCGUAUAAGCUUGACUGUCCGGAUUUGCCAGGAGGGAAUGGCACCACCAGUGGCUGGAAAUUCGACCACUAAUCUUGAAGAGGACAAGAAAACUGAUAAUUACAAACAGGGGAAGGGAGGCUCUUAGAUAAUUUUGAGAGGUAUUGAACCUAAGCAUGACCUGUCCACAAACCAUGAGUGGCAGAGUCGUGUGUUUAUGCAGCCCUACUUCUGCUGCUUCACUGCCCAUGAUAGGAAAGUGUAAAAAGUGAAGAGAAGUGUGACUGGUUAUGUCAAGAAGGUCAAGUCUUCUUACUAAUCUACACAGCAUCUACUGACACCAUCAAGUCCUAGCCCUCUGGUGGACCAUACUAAAAUAUUAGCAUUUUAAGGAACUGUGGCAUUGCAUUAGGUCUGGCUGAGAUAAUAAUUUUCCACAUGGCAGUCCUCAUCGUGCCAUGCUUUGUGUCGGCAGCUAGGAAGGCGCUGAAUAAACAUCAUUGUUUUGGCUACUGCUGAGCAGUGCUGGCACAGCUUGAAGGCUGUCUGUCCAACAUUCCCCCUCACCAGUAGGCUGGGGGUGGGCAAGAUCCUUGGAGGGGACAUAGCCAGAACAGCUGACCCAAAGUGACCGAAUAUGGUAUCUUUCAUAACAUAUGACAUCUGCUCAGCAAUAAAAGCUAAGAGAAUAGAAGAGGUCAGGGGGCAUUUGUUAUUAUGUCAUUUGUCUUCCGGGGCAACCUCUACACAUACUGAAGCCCUACUUCCCAGGAAGUGACUGGACAUCACCUGCUGAUGGAAAGUACAGAAUAAAUCUUUUGUUUUCCCUUGCUUUCA